UGAUAAGAAGAGGACUUAAACCUCUGUUAAUGGGGCU
rnacentral:tRNA from 1 species